GACGAACGCUGGCGGCGUGCCUAAUACAUGCAAGUAGAACGCUGAAGCUUGGUGCUUGCACCGAGCGGAUGAGUUGCGAACGGGUGAGUAACGCGUAGGUAACCUGCCUGGUAGCGGGGGAUAACUAUUGGAAACGAUAGCUAAUACCGCAUAAGAGUAGAUGUUGCAUGACAUUUGCUUAAAAGGUGCAAUUGCAUCACUACCAGAUGGACCUGCAUUGUAUUAGCUAGUUGGUGAGGUAACGGCUCACCAAGGCAACGAUACAUAGCCGACCUGAGAGGGUGAUCGGCCACACUGGGACUGAGACACGGCCCAGACUCCUACGGGAGGCAGCAGUAGGGAAUCUUCGGCAAUGGACGGAAGUCUGACCGAGCAACGCCGCGUGAGUGAAGAAGGUUUUCGGAUCGUAAAGCUCUGUUGUAAGAGAAGAACGAGUGUGAGAGUGGAAAGUUCACACUGUGACGGUAUCUUACCAGAAAGGGACGGCUAACUACGUG
rnacentral:rRNA from 1 species